rnacentral:rRNA from 1 species
AGGACGAACGCUGGCGGCGUGCUUAACACAUGCAAGUCGAGCGGAAAGGCCCUUCGGGGUACUCGAGCGGCGAACGGGUGAGUAACACGUGAGUAACCUGCCCCUAGCUCUGGGAUAGCUCCGGGAAACCGGGAUUAAUACCAGAUACGACCACUUUAGACAUCUGUCGUGGUGGAAAGGAUUCCGGCUAGGGAUGGGCUCGCGGCCUAUCAGCUUGUUGGUGGGUAACGCUACCAAGGCGACGACGGUA